CCUACGGGAGGCAGCAGUGAGGAAUAUUGGUCAAUGGGCGGGAGCCUGAACCAGCCAAGUCGCGUGAGGGAAGACGGUCCUAUGGAUUGUAAACCUCUUUAGGCGGGGAGCAAUGCCGGGCACGCGUGCCCGGAGGGAGAGUACCCGCAGAAUAAGCAUCGGCUAACUCCGUGCCAGCAGCCGCGGUAAUACGGAGGAUGCGAGCGUUAUAAGGAUUGAUUGGGUUUAAAGGGUGCGUAGGAGGAUUUUUAAGUCAGCGGUAAAAUGUCCGGGCUCAACCCGGGCCCGCCGUUGAAACUGGGGAGAUUGAGUGGGAGAGAAGUAUGAGGAAUGCGUGGUGUAGAGGUGAAAUGCAUAGAUAUCACGCAGAAAUCCGAUUGCGAAGGCAGCAUACCGGCGCCCGACUGACGCUGAGGAACGAGAGCGUGGGGAUCGAACAGGAUUAGAUACGUAGUC
rnacentral:rRNA from 1 species